rnacentral:lncRNA from 1 species
CUUGCACCAGUGGCUUCCCCGAGGCUCUCAGGCCCCCGGCCUCAGACUGAAGACUGCACUGCGGGCUUUCCUGGUUUUGAGGCUUUUGGACUUGGACUGAGCCACUACUAGCUUCUCUCUUUCCCUACCUGGCAGACAGCCUGUUGUGGGACUGCCUUCUAACCGUGUGAACCAAUUCUCUCUGGGAGCUUAUAGCUUCAUUGCACUGUGUGUGGCAUUUGGGUCCUGUUUGACAGCAAUGACUGCCUUUCUGUUUAGUGUCUGUGUGCUAUGAAGAUUGCACACAGGGGUCCAGAUGCAUCCUGUUUUGAGAAUGUUAAUGGAUACACCAGCUGCUGCUUUGGAUUUCACCCAUUGGUGGUAGUGGACCCGCUGUUUGGAAUGCAGACAAUUUAAGUGAAGACAUAUCCAUAUAUGUGGCUCUGUUACAAUGGUGAAAUCUACAACCAUAAGAAGCCAAAAAUGUGAGUAUGACAUACAAAGAGAAAUACAUCAAGGACUUUUCAUCCUCAUAGUUUGCCAGUGAUGCUGGAGAGUGUCAGAAUUGGUGCAGCACCAGUUUGAAUUUGAAUACCAGACCAAAGUGGAUGGUGAGAUAAUCCUUCAUCUUUAUGACAAAGGAGGAAUUGAGCAAACAAUUUGUACGUUGGUUGGUGUGUUUGCAUUUGUUUUACUGGAUUCUGCCAAUAAGAAAGUGUCCCUGGACAGAGAUACAUAAGGAGUCAGACCUUUGUUUAAAGCAGUGACAGAAGAUGGAUUUUUGGCUGUGCGUUCAGAAGCUAAAGUUCUGGAGGCCACAAGUCCAAAAUCAAGGUGUGGGCAGAAAUGCGCUCCCUCUGCAGACUCCUGGGGAGGAUGCUUGUUUCUUCCAGCUCUGCGACUGUGGUGCCUGCAGCCAUUGGAACCAGCUCUGCACGGCUCAGACCUGGGUGAUGAGGACACAGCUUUGCAGGUGGGCAGCCACAUCCCCAGGGGGAGACUGUGGGCCUGUGGCAGGGUAGGGGCAACCAGUGCAGGGGCUCCCCAUUGUUGCCCCUGAGCUCCUGGGGCUUGUGGAGAAAGACAGGUGGAUGCACACAUACUGCAGCUCCCUGGAUCUGAGCCUUGGUUUCCCUACCUGUGAAAUGGGCACCCAUGGCAGCUCAGAAGUGUCUGGGAGCAUCCCCUGUGGGGGAAGGUGUGGGGGGCUGCUGGGGCACAGUCAUGGGGAACCCCAGUCCCCCUCUCCAUGUGCUUCCCUCAAUGCUCCCUGAUGCCAGCAGUCCUGCCCCCGAACAGAAAGGGGCAUUCCUGUGAGUUCCUUGUGUGGGGGACUGGUCACAGAGACUCCCCAAGUGCAGGGCAGGGUGGAGGGAGGCUGAGGGGUGGUUGAAUGGACAGGAGAAGAGCUCUCUCCAGUCCCUUGGGUCUGGGUGGCCUGGGGAGCAUCCAUUUGGGCAGGCAGCUGGUGGGGCUGGUGGCUGAGCCACUGUGGCUCGGGGACCCCAGGCCAGGACAGAGUAGGGUGGGCAGGGAGAGCAGAGUGCGAGCAUAUGGGGCAGGACAGGUGUCUCCUGGACAGAAAGAGCCCUGGUCACUCAUGGCUGCAGCAUAGCCAUGGCGACAGGAAAGUGCUGCUGUACAUUGUGCUCCUGGGGCUGGCUCCCAAUGGACACCCAACAGCAUCUCCCCCAUUGUACUGUGGGAUGCUGGCAGUGGUGCUGGGCACUGGGGUAAGAGCCUUGGCAAGCCCUUCGCUCCCUGGGUGUGAGACUUUGGGCUCCUGGAUGCCUGGGUUUCUGUGUCCUAUUUUUCCCAUGGAAGAUGUUUGGGGUGCUCCCAGGAAAUGGGGAGGGCCCUGGGGGGUCAGGAUUGUAUUAUUAAAGCCAGAAAGUCUGGGGUUCCAUUUUUAGCACAAGGCAGGCAGCCCAUGAGCCCCAGCCCAGUGGCCAGCCUGUGUGGGAGGGGAGUGGGGGUCUGAAGGAGUGAGGC